rnacentral:rRNA from 1 species
GACGAACGCUGGCGGCGUGCUUAACACAUGCAAGUCGAACGAAGUGGCGAACGGGUGAGUAACGCGUAAUCAACCUGCCCUUCAGAGGGGGACAACAGUUGGAAACGACUGCUAAUACCGCAUACUGAAGGAGGGGAUUGCGUCUGAUUAGCUAGUUGGAGGGGUAACGGCCCACCAAGGCGAUGAUCAGUAGCCGGUCUGAGAGGAUGAACGGCCACAUUGGGAAUGGGGCACGGCCCAAACUCCUACGGGAGGGAGCAGGGGGGAAUCUUCCGCAAUGGAGGAAGUUCGGACGGAGCAACGCCGCGGGAGGGAUUACGGCUUUCGGGUUGUAAAGCUCUGUUAAUCGGGACGCGUUACCGGAAUAGAAAGCCACGGCUAACUACGUGCCAGCCGCCGCGGUAAUAC